rnacentral:rRNA from 1 species
CAGCAGCCGCGGUAAUACGUAGGUCCCGAGCGUUGUCCGGAUUUAUUGGGCGUAAAGGGAGCGCAGGCGGUUUAGUAAGUCUGAAGUUAAAGGCAUUGGCUCAACCAAUGUAUGCUUUGGAAACUGUUAGACUUGAGUGCAGAAGGGGAGAGUGGAAUUCCAUGUGUAGCGGUGAAAUGCGUAGAUAUAUGGAGGAACACCGGUGGCGAAAGCGGCUCUCUGGUCUGUCACUGACGCUGAGGCUCGAGAGCGUGGGUAGCGAACAGGAUUAGAUACCCCCGUAGUCCCUGUCUCUUAUACA